rnacentral:lncRNA from 1 species
GAGGCGGGGCCGCGGCGCGCGCCUUACAAGGGCCUGUGGGCUGCCCACGGCGCUGCCUGAGGGAAACGCCAACCGUAAGCGACUUCUUUCUAGGGAAGAAGAUCGUCUCUGAGAACACAGAAAGUCUGUGAGGAUAUUUUCCCCUCUUGCGAAAGAAAGGCAACCGGCCAACACAAGCUGACACUUGCAUCGUGUCAGACAGCCCGGAAAGGGGCCUUCAAGGGCGAUCAAGAGGACGCCGUCGUCCCGAGCGUGCUUACGCCAUCCUUUGCGUCACCGCCUUCGCCGGAAGCUGCCUUGUAUCCGCGUCUCCGCAGGGAAAACUGCGGCUGGCGGUGCGGGAAGUGCUAUUAGUAGUUGUUUAUUUGUUUGUUUGCAGAAAUAAUUGCUUGGGUACGAAGGUCAAACGAGAAUGAAGCAAGUAUAUUAUCUAGUUUGUAUGUCUUUAAAUAGUUUCUCCUCCACACGUCUAAACAUACGCACCUGCUAGUAGGUGCGCAAAUGUUAAAACCUCUUUGGGAAAGCAAUGUGGCAAAAUCUAGUAAAAGUUUUCAAUUACUAAACCCCAGCACUCUGCUCCUACCUAUAUGUCUUGUAGAAACUUUGGUAAGUGAACAAGGAUGUACGUAACAGCGCUGUGGGUAGAAGCAAAAAAUUAGAAACGUCCAUCAAUAACAGAAUAAAUACCUUAUGGGAUGUUAGGAUGUAGUAUUAUACGCCAAUAAAAGAAGACUGAACUCAGAAAUGUGAUGAGGCAAAAAGAGAAAGAUGUAGAAAAAUAAAUAGUAUGACAAUUCAUAUACAUUCAACUCUAAAACUUGUAAAACAAUGCUAUAUAUUGCUUAGUUAUGCAUACAUAUGUAGUUAAAGAAGUCAAGAAAUACAAGAGAAUGAAAAUCAAGUUGAGAAAAGCAGUCAUAUCUGGUAAGGAGGGGACAAUAAAGGGAGGCUUUAACUGUAUUGACCAUUAUUAAACCGGGUGUUAAAUAUAUGGGUGGCCAUUGUUUUAUUCACUACACCUUUAAAAAUAGAUAUUAUUUUCUUAAUGUAGUUUAUUUAAAUUGAGAUAAUGCCAUAUACCCAGCAUCCAGUUUCCCCUAUUAUUAACAUCUCAUGCUAAUAUGGUACAUUUGUUGCAAUUAAUGAACCAAUAUUUUACACUGUUAUUAACUAAGGUUCACAUUUUAUUCAGAUUUCCUUCGGUUUUACCUAAUACCCUUUUUCUGUUCCAGGAUUCCAUCCAGAAUACCACAUUACAUUUAGUUAUGAUGUCUCCUUAUAUGCCUCUUGUGGCUGUGGCAGUUUCUCAAACUUUCCUUACUUUUGGUGACCUUGAGAGUUUUGAGGAGUACUGGUCAUGUAUUUUGUAGGAUGUCCUAAUCAUGGAAUUUGUCUCAUGUUUUUCUCAUGAUUGUAUGUAUUUUUAGGAUGCAUUUUUAAAAAGUCAGCUAAGUUAACAAAAUCCCUUAUCAGACUGAAUAUAAAUAAUAUCGUCCAGUCGCUUUUGAAAUUUGCAUGUCUUCGACUCACUCUCCUGAUGCACCUGAAAGUUGUAAUUUCUAAGAACUGCGUCAGCACCAUUUUUUAAAUGUGUACAUUCUGUGACCAUCGUCAUCAGCACUUAACAUCAUUUGCUGAAGAACUUGAGGAGGAAUAGGAUUUGGUAUUGAUUCCUUCAAUACGUUGACUCCUCCAGACUUUCACUGUAACCAUUAGCCCUUGGCUUCUAGAUUGUCUUUAACUUAAUUUUCUGUAGUUCAUUAUUACAGUCACUCUGUUAGCACUCACUUCCUCAGGUCACUUUUCCUUUCCCAUUACUUUCUUUCUUUCUUUGAGAGGGAAUUUUGUUCUUGUUGCCCAGGCUGGAGUGCAGUGGCGCGACAUCGACUCACCACAACCUCUGCCUCCCGGGUUCAAGCGAUUCUCUUGCCUCAGGCUCACGAGGAGUAGCUGGGAUUACAGGCGCCCGCCACCACACCUGGCUGAUUUUUUUGUUUUUAGUAGCGACGAGGUUUCACCAUGUUGGCCAGGCUGGUCUCCAACUCCUGACCUCAGGUGAUCCACCCGCCUCCACCUCCCAAAGUGCUGGGAUUAUAGGCGUGAGCCACCGCGCCUGGCCCCCAUCACUUUCUUAGCACAUACCGAACCUUGGAUAAAUGCAACCGUGACAGUACCUCCACAGCUGAGCACCGUUGAAGAAAAUCUUGUAAUCUGGUGUGAUGACAAAUCAGAAACUAGUCAUCCAUGCACUAUAUUUUUUUGCACUUGGAAAUAUUUUUUUGAGCCCAUAGAGUGUUUUAAAAAUUAACAUAUCAAAAAAAAAAGAUUUCUGGCUUCCCUUGAGAAAUCAGGAGAUCUGGCAGCAUAGAGCUGAUAGUCUUGAUGGCCACUCCACUGGCUUCCCCUUUAGAUGGGGCAUUCAUUCUUGAGUUCCUUCAUCACUCAGCCUGCUUCAGUCAUUUACCUGCCUGGCUCCUGUUGGCAUUUGUGUUUUUAGCCUCUCCCAUAAAUUCACGACCAACCCUUAACAAAUGGGUACUGUACUGUUUAGCAUCCCCACUACAGUUCCCCAGUUAAUUUGCUUACCUGCUGUCAAAAAAAAAAUUAAGCUUUUACAUAAUUAAAGUUAGUUUUAUUCAGAAGUCUCACUGAGGACUGUAGACCAAGGUUUAUACCCUGAGGGCAGUUCUUUCACAGGGCUCCAAAGUGGUCCCUCAGCCCAUUGCUUCUAUGUAGGUUGUGGGGGUUCUGUAUGUGUGAAAUCUCAUUAAAGUUUGGGUGUAAGAGUACAUCAGUUUAUAGAUUACUAAAGUAAUUUGGUUAUAGAUUGUAGAAGCAUAAUCACUAACCCUGUCAGACAUCUUCAUGUAGGAAAAGGCAAGGUCAAGUUCAUUUACUGUUUCAGGAACGUUGUAACUCAGGCGAGUGACACGGGGGGCCGUGUGCUCUAUCCUGUUUUAAGAUUCUUCCUGAGGAGCUGCAUUUCAUCACAGUCAGGGGUUCAAGCAGAAAUAAGCAAACCUGGCUUAACAUUUUCUAUUUUGUCUCACAUUAUUCUAUUUAAAGAUUAUUUCAUGUCAUUUCUUUGAUUAUCAAACCUUCCUUUCUCCCACCUUUCUUUCAGCUGAUGACUGCCUCUUUUUUUGAGACUCUCUUAGUCCCCAGGCUGGAGUGCAGUGGCAUGAUCUCGGCUCACUGCAACCUCCACCUCCUGGGUUCAAGCAAUUCUCAUGCCUCAGCCUCCCAAGUAGCUGGGAUUAUAGGCGUGUGCCACCACACCCGGCUAAUUUUAUUAUUUUUGGUAGAAACAGGGUUUCGCCAUGUUGGCCAGGCUGGUCUUGGACUCCUGACCUCAAGUGAUCCACCUGUCUCAGCCUCUCAAAGUGCUGGGAUUACAGGUGUGAGCCACCACGCCCAGCCAACUGCCUCAUUUUUAUCAGUGUACAAACAUGCUCCCAGCCAACUCCAUCAUUUUUAUCCAUGUACAAACAGGCUCUGGUGUUCCCCACUAAAACCCGCAACUCUCUUCUUUCUGAUUCUGCUUGAUCUCAUAUUCCUUUAUAACUACUGCCCCAUAUGUUCAUUUUUCUUCUGUCAAAUGUAAAAAAAAAGGAGUCAUGAAAUUUUUGGUUUUGUACAUCAAAAAUUGUGAAAGUUCAGCAGUGUCAUACAGUUUAAUACAUAAACACUAUUAUCUCUUCCUCAUCUUUCAUUCAGCUUCAGUUUCAUUUGACUUCUGUUCUAGUCAUGUCAUUAAAGCUGCUCUUGUCAGGGCAUCAACUGCUUAUAUGUUGCCAAAGCCAAAAGACAUUCCCUGUUCUUUCCUUUCUUGAUCUCCGCAAAGCACUGGACUCUGUUGGCCAGCUCUUCCUCCAUGAAACACUACCCUUCCUCACCACUCCACAGUCUGAUUUGCUGAUUUUCCCUCCUCUCCCUGUCCUAUAAAGACUACAUUUCCCUGGGUCUUGGAGCUAGGCCCCUGCUCUUCUCUUUCUGUACUGCCUUCCUGGUUAAUUCCAUUUACUCCUAUAAUUUUAAAUUUCAUCUCUGUGUUGCUUACUACCAGAUUGAUUUAUGUGAUUCCAGCCUUUCCUCAAGAUUGCUAUUCAACUUGAUAUCUAUUCUUGGAUACUCUUUAGCAUCUCAACAUGUCCAAAUCUUUUAUUUUUCUUUUCUUUUUUUUUAACUGCUCCUUGUGGAGCAGGGCUAUCCCAUAGGCAGCGUGCCUAGAGUAGCCAAAAUUAAUUGUAUGUGGGUACUCUACUGUUUAACAUCCCCACUACAGUUCCCCAGUUAAUUUGCUUACCUUCUGUCAACUUAAAAAAAAAAUCAAGCUUUUACAUAAUUAGUUUUAUUUAGAAGUCUCACUGAGGACUAUAGACCAACGUUUAUACCCUUGGUAUAACCUUAUGGGAUGUGUUGUAAGUUUUUAUGGGAUGUUUUUAAGUUUUAGAUAUACUUUUUUUUUUUUUCUUUUGGAGACAGGGUCUUGCUCUCUUGCCCAGGCUGGAGUGCAGGAACAUGAUCAUGGCUCACUGCAGCCUCAACCUCCUGGGCUCAAGCCAUCCUCCUGCCUCAGCCACUGAUGUAGCUGGCAUCACAGGCAUGCACCACCACACCUGGCUAAUUUGUAAAAAUUCUUUUGUAGAUAUGGAGUCUCCUUUUGUUGCCCAGGCUGGCCUUGAACUCCUGAGCUCAGGCAAUCCUCCCACAUUGGCAUCCCAAAGAGCUGGGAUUGCAGGCGUGAACCCCUAUGCCUAGCUCAUAAAACUUUUUAUUUUCUGCCAGAUGCAGUGGCUCACACCUGUAAUCCCAGCAGUUUGGGAGGCCGGGGCAGGCAGAGUGCUUGAGCACAGGAGUUCGAGACCAGUCUGGGCAAGAUGGUGAAACCCUGUCUCUACAAAAAUACAAAAAUUAGCAGGGUGUGAUGGUAUGCGCCCAUAGUCCCAGCUGCUUGCGGGGCUGAAGCAGGAGAAUCACUUGGGCCCAGAGGUUGAGGCUACAGUGAGCUGUGUUCAUGCCACUGCACUCCAGCUGGAGCGACAAAGUGAAACUUUGUCUCAAACAAGAAAACAACAACAAAAAAACUUGAUUUUUACCCUGAAGCCUGUUUCUGCUCCAAUAUUUUCCAUUCAGUACAUAGCAUAAUCAAGAAACCUUGGUUUUGCCUUUAAGUUUCCCUUUAUCCCUUCCGUAUGGAAUCCAUUGGAAAGUUUUGUUCCAGUUCUGAUUGUAAAAUAUUAAUAUAUUAAUGUAUCUCCAGCUGACCUACCUCUUCCCAUCUCUGUGGCCACGCCACUAAUACGUCUUAUUCUGAACUACAGCAAUGGCAUCUUUAUGGUCACUUUUUUUUCCUCUCUUGCCCCUGUUCUAUCCAUUUCCUAUAUAGUGGCCAGGGUGAUCUUUUAAAAAUAUAAACCUGAUUAUAUCACACCCUUGCUUACAGCCCUCCACAGGCUUUCUGUUGCUCUUAGAAUAAAAUCUAAAUUCCUUACCUUGUCUUACAAAGUCCUGUAUAAACUAGAUCGUGCUUAUCUUUUCAGAUUCCUGUCUCCCUCACUUUCUUGUGUCUCUCUCUGCCUUCUUCAAUUCCGUAAAUACUUCAAGUUUUUUCUAGUCUUGGGAUCGUUAUGCAUGCUGUUCCCUUUGUUCUUCAGUAGCUUGAUCUUUCUCAUCUUCUUGAUUCCCGAAAGAGGCUUCCUAAGAGAAGUGAUGCCCAAGACAUUAAAACAUGAAUGGGCGUUAGAUGAAGACAAAAGAGCAUUCCAUCGUAGAAGACAAUGUAGCAUGUGACGGUGAGUACAAGCAGUGUGGUGUUGCCCAUGCAAGACAAGAGUGAUGGGAAAUAAAGCCAAAAGGCAGAUGGUGAAGGUUCUUACCAAGGUGCCAAAGAAUGCUGAAUCGAGCCUGUGAGGCUGGAAGCAAA